rnacentral:lncRNA from 1 species
GUCAACCCCACCAUGGUCUUUGACAUCGCCAUUGACGGCGAGACUUUGAGCUGCAUCUCCUUUGAGUUGUUUGCGAAGUUCCAAAGACAGCAGAAAAUAUCCAUGCUCUGAGCACUGAAGAGAAAGAAUUUGGUUAUCAGGGUUUCUGCUUUUACAGAAUUAUUCCAGGGGUUCUGUGUCAGGGUAUGUAUGAACUUCACAAGCCACAAUAGCACUGGUGGCAAGUCUAUCUACAAGGAGAAAUUUGAAGGUGAGAACUUCAUUCUGAAGCAUACGGGUUCUGGCAUCUUGUCCAUGGCAAAUGCUGGACCCAACACAAGCAGUUCCCAGUUUUUCAUCUGCACUGCAAGAUUGACUGGUUGGAUGGCAAGCAUGUGGUCUUUGGCAAGGUGAAAGAAGGCAUGAAUAUCAUGGAAGCCAUGGAGUGCUUCGGGUACAGGAAUGGCAAGACCAGCAAGAAGAUCACCAUUGCUGACUGUGGA